rnacentral:rRNA from 1 species
UACUCCAAUAGCGUAUAUUAAUACUGCUGUAGUUAAACGCCCGUAGUAUACCUAAGAGUGGGUGUGUAGUAAUUAGUUUUGCCAGAGGACGGUUGGUGAGAGUUUAUCACUCUUGCUUGCCUACUUUUGGUAAACUUUAGUCGGGCUGGAUCUUUGGUCCUCGUCUGACAGUUGCUACGUACUUACUUACCACGGUUCAUCCGUGAGGCCCUUGGCUUGCAACUGUAAAUAAAUCGUUGUGCUUAAAGCGGGCUAUGAUACUCUGCCAGAGCGAUUUAGCAUGGGACUGCAGAGUAGCUGUAUUUGAGUGAAGGUUGCACCUCGGUGUGGCUGGAGCUUGGUACAGCGCUUGUAAUGGAGCUCAGGGUGAGGCCCCGGGUACCAUGAGGCUAGAGGUGAAAUUCUGAGACCCUCAUGUGACCAACUAAGGCGAAAGCUGUCGUGGGCCACCACAAGCUCGUCUAUCAGGGACGAAAGUUGGGGGAUCGAAGACGAUUAGAUACCGUCGUAGUCCCAACUAUAAACGAUACCAACCGAGUAUUUGGGAAGACACUAUCCCAGCGAUCUUCUCAGAACUCAAGGGAAACCUUAAGUCUUUGGGUUCUGGGGGGAGUAUAGUCGCAAGACCGAAACUUAAAGGAAUUGACGGAAAGGCACCACCAGGAGUGGAGUCUGCGGCUUAAUUCGACUCAACACGGGGAAACUCACCAGGUCAGGACACAAGUUUGAUUGACAGGUUAAUAGCCCUUUCUUGAUUGUGUGGUGGGUAGUGCAUGGCCGUUUCCAGUUCGUGGAGUGAUCUGUCUUGUUAAUUCAGUUAACGACGGC